rnacentral:rRNA from 1 species
GACGAACGCUGGCGGCGUGCUUAACACAUGCAAGUCGAACGGAAAGGCCCUGCUUUUGUGGGGUGCUCGAGUGGCGAACGGGUGAGUCACACGUGAGUAACCUGCCCUUGACUUUGGGAUAACUUCAGGAAACUGGGGCUAAUACCGGAUAGGAGCUCCUGCUGCAUGGUGGGGGUUGGAAAGUUUCGGCGGUUGGGGAUGGACUCGCGGCUUAUCAGCUUGUUGGUGGGGUAGUGGCCUACCAAGGCUUUGACGGGUAGCCGGCCUGAGAGGGUGACCGGCCACAUUGGGACUGAGAUACGGCCCAGACUCCUACGGGAGGCAGCAGUGGGGAAUAUUGCACAAUGGGCGGAAGCCUGAUGCAGCAACGCCGCGUGCGGGAUGACGGCCUUCGGGUUGUAAACCGCUUUCGCCUGUGACGAAGCGUGAGUGACGGUAAUGGGUAAAGAAGCACCGGCUAACUACGUG